rnacentral:rRNA from 1 species
AGUGGCGAACGGGUGAGUAAUACAUCGGAACGUGCCCUGUAGUGGGGGAUAACUAGUCGAAAGAUCAGCUAAUACCGCAUACGACCUGAGGGUGAAAGUGGGGGACCGCAAGUCCUCAUGCUAUAGGAGCGGCCGAUGUCUGAUUAGCUAGUUGGUGAGGUAAAGGCUCACCAAGGCGACGAUCAGUAGCUGGUCUGAGAGGACGAUCAGCCACACUGGGACUGAGACACGGCCCAGACUCCUACGGGAGGCAGCAGUGGGGAAUUUUGGACAAUGGGGGCAACCCUGAUCCAGCAAUGCCGCGUGUGUGAAGAAGGCCUUCGGGUUGUAAAGCACUUUUGUCCGGAAAGAAAUCGCACUUACUAAUAUUAGGUGUGGAUGACGGUACCGGAAGAAUAAGGACCGGCUAACUACUUGCCAGCAGCCGCGGUAAUACGUAGGGUCCAAGCGUUAAUCGGAAUUACUGGGCGUAAAGCGAGCGCAGGCGGUUGUGCAAGACCGAUGUGAAAUCCCCGGGCUUAACCUGGGAAUUGCAUUGGUGACUGCACGGCUAGAGUGUGUCAGAGGGGGGUAGAAUUCCACGUGUAGCAGUGAAAUGCGUAGAGAUGUGGAGGAAUACCGAUGGCGAAGGCAGCCCCCUGGGAUAACACUGACGCUCAUGCACGAAAGCGUGGGGAACAAACAGGAUUAGAUACCCUGGUAGUCCACGCCCUAAACGAUGUCAACUAGUUGUUGGGGAUUCAUUUCCUUAGUAACGGAGCUAACGCGUGAAGUUGACCGCCUGGGGAGUACGGUCGCAAGAUUAAAACUCAAAGGAAUUGACGGGGACCCGCACAAGCGGUGGAUGAUGUGGAUUAAUUCGAUGCAACGCGAAAAACCUUACCUACCCUUGACAUGCCACUAACGAAGCAGAGAUGCAUUAGGUGCUCGAAAGAGAAAGGUGACACAGGUGCUGCAUGCCUGUCGUCAGCUCGUUUCGUGAAAUUUUGGGUUAAGUCCCGCAACGAGCGCACCCCUUGUCUCUAGUUGCUACGUAAGGCCACUCUAGAGAGACUGCCGGUGACAAACCGGAGGAAGGUGGGGAUGACGUCAAUUCCUCAUGGCCCUUAUGGGUAGGGCUUCACACGUCAUACAAUGGUGCAUACAGAGGGUUGCCAAGCCGCGAGGUGGAGCUAAUCCCAGAAAAUGCAUCGUAGUCCGGAUCAUAGUCUGCAACUCGACUACGUGAAGCUGGAAUCGCUA